GAAAAGUUUUAUUCUUGCUUGGUUAUUUAAUAUAAUGUUAUUAUAUAUGUAGGUUUAUGCGUAUAAGGAUAUUUAAAUCUAAAUGGUUGAUUGAUUUAUGUUUCGCAGUAUAAAAUAUUAUGAAUUGAGGAAAUUUUGAUUUAGUAAUUGUUAAUUAGUGUUGAUAAAAUAUGUGCCAGCAGUCGCGGUUAUACAUGAAACAUAAUUGAAUAUAUUCAGUUAAAGUAGUUAAUUAGAUAUUUUGAAUUUAAAUUGGUCAUUAUUGGGUGAAAUAUUAAUGUUUGUUUAUAAUUUAUAAAAUUUAUUAAAUGAAGCUGUGAAAUCUAAUUUAUUUAGACUAGGAUUAGAUACCCUAUUAUUUUGGAUGUAAAUUAAUUAAACUUGAGUAGUAAUAGAUGAGGUCUUGAAACUUAAAGAAUUUGGCGGUAUUUUAGUCUAUUUAGAGGAAUCUGUCCCGUUAUCGAUAAUCCACGCUGGACCUUACUUAGUUUAUUAAAUAUGUAUAUCGCCGUUGUUGAAAAUCUUUUUAGAGUUAAUAAUUUUUUAAAAAUUUGUUUUAUAAUCUUUCAGGUCAAGGUGCAGUUUAUGAUUAAGUGGAGAUGGAUUACAAUAUUUUAAAGUAUAUGGAUUGUUAUUUGAAAAUAAAGUAAUAUGAAGGUGGAUUUAAUAGUAAUAUUAUGAAGAUUGUUAAUAUGAUUAUAGCUCUAAAAUAUGCACACAUCGCCCGUCGCUCUCGCUGUGGAGAUUUUAAAGUGAGAUAAGUCGUAACAUAGUAGUUGUACCGGAAGGUGUAACUAGAAUAAAU
rnacentral:ncRNA from 1 species